CCGUGAUAAAGUAGCAUAAUCACUCGUCAUUUAAUUGGUGACUGGAAUGAAUGGUUACACGAAUCUUUAACUGUCUCAAGAAGAAAGUUCAAUUAAUUUGAAAAAACAGUGAAGAUGCUGUUAACAAAAUUGUAAGACGAAAAGACCCUUUCGAGCUUUACUAUAAGCUUAUAGAAAAAAUCUUUAAUAAAAAUAUAAUAAAAAUAAACUGUAAGCUAAUUAGUUUGGUUGGGGCGACCACCUCUAAAACAGUAUCAGAGGAAAUCUAAAGGUAUAAUAGUAAUAUUAAUUGCCUUACUGUAUACAAACAAGUUAAUCAGUUACUAUUAUGUAGGAUAUAAUGACCCGUUGAAUUAAUUUCAAAAUUCAACGACCAUGAAAAAAGUUACCGUAGGGAUAACAGGGUAAUAUUAUCAAAGAGUUCAUAUCGAUGAUGAU
rnacentral:rRNA from 1 species